CCCUGCCCGUGCUGUUUCACCGGGCGUUUCGACGGGCGUUUCUUCCCCCCAUCGGUCGCAUGUUCCGGUUCUCGCAGCAACACCGCCAGAAAGAAGAC
rnacentral:ribozyme from 1 species